rnacentral:snRNA from 1 species
GUGCUUGCUUCGGCAGCACAUAUACUAAAAAAAAUAGGAACGAUACAGAGAGGAUUAGCAUUGCCCCUGUGCCAGGAUGACAUGCAAAUUCGUAAAGCAUUCCACAUUUUU